AGGAGCGUCGGUUAACGGUAAACCAACGGUCUCCAAAACCGUGACUGGGGGUUCGAUUCCUCCCGCUCCUGCCA
rnacentral:tRNA from 5 species